UUAAGUUUUUUCAUUUAAAAAUUUAUCUGCCUGUGACUCCUGAGCUCUGUUCUCCAUGCUAGGUUCAGGGAUAAAUGGAGUUACAGACAUCA
ensembl:snoRNA